AUUGAACGCUGGCGGCAUGCCUUACACAUGCAAGUCGAACGGUAACAGGUCUUCGGAUGCUGACGAGUGGCGAACGGGGGAGUAAUACAUCGGAACGUGCCCGAGAGUGGGGGAUAACGAGGCGAAAGCUUUGCUAAUACCGCAUACGAUCUCAGGAUGAAAGCAGGGGACCGCAAGGCCUUGCGCUCACGGAGCGGCCGAUGGCAGAUUAGGUAGGUGGUGGGAUAAAAGCUUACCAAGCCGACGGUCUGUAGCUGGUAUGAGAGGACGACCAGCCAGCCGGGGACGGAGACACGGCCCAGACUCCUACGGGAGGCAGCAGUGGGGAAUUUUGGACAAUGGGCGCAAGCCUGAUCCAGCCAUGCCGCGUGCAGGAUGAAGGCCUUCGGGUUGUAAACUGCUUUUGUACGGAACGAAAAGACUCUGGUUAAUACCUGGGGUCCAUGACGGUACCGUAAGAAUAAGCACCGGCUAACUACGUGCCAGCCGCCGCGGUAACAC
rnacentral:rRNA from 1 species